ACGAGGGGAAGAAGAAGAUACUUACGCGGUGCAGGGAGCAGUGGGACCGAGCCUCUCUCUCUCUCUCUCUCUCUCUCUCUCUAUCUCUCUCUCUCUCUUUUUUUUCCCCCGGCAGAGAGAGGAAAACACGCGAGUGCACACACGGUGAUAUCUUGCGGGUGAUGAAUAUGAUAAUUGGACAAGGGACGCUAUUCACAGAUCAUCAUCAGCCAGAGGUGACUUCUGUUGCUUGCAGCUCAGAAUCCUAGAUGUUUCCGGUGGCACUGAAGAGCCUCUGCUGAAGCUCUAUACCAUUUGCCAUUUACAAAGGGAAAUGAAAUAAUAACGCUGACCAUUUGUGGAGCACAUUCUGUCUGGAGGCAAAGGAUGCCAAGAUGGGAAAGCCACAUAAUGGAAGGAUCCUGGAUUUCAGAGCUGUCACUUGGAGGAGGGGCACCCAGUGAAGGUGUCUUAUCUAACCCACACCAUAUCUUCAUGAAGUGGCCAUAUGGAUUUGAUCCCUAUCCUUCAGAGGUGCUCAGCCUAAGGGAACACGGAUAGUAGAUUAAGCACUGACCAGGGGUAUAAAUCCUGCCUUCUCUCAGCCUUACAGAGGAAGAAAACCCUUUCCAAGUUUCCUCUGAUACUGGGUUUAUGCCCAAUUAUAGUUUAGCCUUUCUCUUUACUCAUUGGACUCAGAGCCAGCCUUGACAAUGUGCUGAUGGCAACCU
rnacentral:lncRNA from 1 species